AGAGUUUGAUCCUGGCUCAGAACGAACGCUGGCGGCGUGCCUAACACAUGCAAGUCGAACGGAGUCAUUUUGAAGUAGCAAUACGGAAGAAUGACUUAGUGGCGCACGGGUGAGUAACACGUAGGUAACCUGCCCUUAAGAGGGGGAAAACCCGCCGAAAGGCGAGCUAAUACCGCAUAAGACCACGAACUGAGAUGUUUGUGGUAAAAGGAGCAAUCCACUUAAGGAUGGGCCUGCGGCCUAUCAGGUAGUUGGUGAGGUAACGGCUCACCAAGCCUAAGACGGGUAGCCGGUCUGAGAGGACGGACGGCCGCACUGGAACUGAGACACGGUCCAGACUCCUACGGGAGGCAGCAGUGGGGAAUUUUGGACAAUGGGCGCAAGCCUGAUCCAGCCAUGCCGCGUGCAGGAUGAAGGCCUUCGGGUUGUAAACUGCUUUUGUACGGAACGAAAAGACUCCUUCUAAUAAAGGGGGUCCAUGACGGUACCGUAAGAAUAAGCACCGGCUAACUACGUGCCAGCAGCCGCGGUAAUACGUAGGGUGCGAGCGUUAAUCGGAAUUACUGGGCGUAAAGCGUGCGCAGGCGGUUAUAUAAGACAGAUGUGAAAUCCCCGGGCUCAACCUGGGAACUGCAUUUGUGACUGUAUAGCUAGAGUACGGUAGAGGGGGAUGGAAUUCCGCGUGUAGCAGUGAAAUGCGUAGAUAUGCGGAGGAACACCGAUGGCGAAGGCAAUCCCCUGGACCUGUACUGACGCUCAUGCACGAAAGCGUGGGGAGCAAACAGGAUUAGAUACCCUGGUAGUCC
rnacentral:rRNA from 1 species